UGCGUAGGUGGCGCCGUAAGUGGGGUGUGAAAUCCCGGGGCUUAACCCCGGGACUGCAUUCCAUACUGCGGUGCUUGAGGACUGGAGAGGAGACUGGAAUUUACGGUGUAGCAGUGAAAUGCGUAGAGAUCGUAAGGAAGACCAGUGGCGAAGGCGGGUCUCUGGACAGUUCCUGACACUGAGGCACGAAGGCCAGGGGAGGCAAACG
rnacentral:rRNA from 1 species